rnacentral:rRNA from 1 species
GACGAACGCUGGCGGCGUGCCUAAUACAUGCAAGUAGAACGCUGAAGCGAGGAGCUUGCUCUUCUUGGAUGAGUUGCGAACGGGUGAGUAACGCGUAGGUAACCUGCCUUGUAGCGGGGGAUAACUAUUGGAAACGAUAGCUAAUACCGCAUAACAAUGGAUGACACAUGUCAUUUAUUUGAAAGGGGCAAUUGCUCCACUACAAGAUGGACCUGCGUUGUAUUAGCUAGUAGGUGAGGUAAUGGCUCACCUAGGCGACGAUACAUAGCCGACCUGAGAGGGUGAUCGGCCACACUGGGACUGAGACACGGCCCAGACUCCUACGGGAGGCAGCAGUAGGGAAUCUUCGGCAAUGGGGGCAACCCUGACCGAGCAACGCCGCGUGAGUGAAGAAGGGUUUCGGAUCGUAAAGAUCUGUUGUAAGUCAAGAACGGGUGUGAGAGUGGAAAGUUCACACUGUGACGGUAGCUUAACAGAAAGGGACGGCUAACUACGUG